UACGAAGGGGGCUAGCGUUGCUCGGAAUCACUGGGCGUAAAGGGUGCGUAGGUGGCACUGUAAGUCGGGUGUGAAAUCCUGAGGCUUAACCUCGGAACUGCAUUCGAUACUGCGGUGCUUGAGGACUGGAGAGGAGACUGGAAUUUACGGUGUAGCGGUGAAAUGCGUAGAUAUCGUAAGGAAGACCAGUGGCGAAGGCGAGUCUCUGGACAGUUACUGACACUGAGGCACGAAGGCCAGGGGAGCAAACGGG
rnacentral:rRNA from 1 species